rnacentral:lncRNA from 1 species
UUUGAUAAUUUAAAAAGCUAGAUCAUUUAAAGACUCAAAUAAGUUUUUGUUGGCUUAAAUGGGCUAGCAUCAUGUCCUGUGACGAAAUGUUAUGUUGGGCCGAGUCAUGUUCGAAAUGGUGUGAGAUUGAGUGGGCCAAGUCAUGUUCGAAGUGACGUAAGACUGAUUAGGCCGAGUCACAGUUGAAACCCGUGGGCGCUGUAUUUGUAUGUUUUUAGUGACUUGGUUGCGUAUUUCUAACCGUUCGAGUUUUUGAGAUUAAUGAUUAGCGCCAAUAAUCUGACAAUUUUAAGUAGUGUGCAGCUCUAUAUAUUAAAAACCCAAAAAAUACUAUUAAAACAUAGCUUU